AACGAUGACAUCAUAUUUUUAGUAAUUGAAUUCUUGUAACGCGUGUGUUACAAAGAAAACAAAAAAAAACAAUAACAAU
rnacentral:ribozyme from 1 species